AAUAAAUGUAAGCUGAAUGAAGUGUUAGGUUGGAAGGAAUCCCACUCAGCUAGGAUAACCUCUUUUUGCCCGUAUGCCUUUCUUUCUUCUUCCAGACUGCAAUUUGGAAGCAAUGACUGGAGCUCCAGCAGUUAUCUUGUGUUAUGAGGUCCAGUGAUGCUGAACAUCCUGCAAUCUUGGGAAGAUUCCAUACAACAAAAAGUUGUCUGGCUCAAAAUGCUGAGAGUGCCUUGAAUGAGGAUCUGGAGAAAGGACGAGCACAGUGCUGGGUGGAGAGGCCGAAGCUUCUGGAGAGAGGACACUGAGCUGAUGCCUACAGGAGGCUCCUUUGGAAAAAUGGUAACAGCCCCAAGAAGCUGAAAGAACAACAGAAUUUCCUUUCCUCCAAUCAGAUCCAGUAUUAUAAUCAUCUUGCACCAGUUGAGGACGGAUACCCAACCAUCACUGCUGAGAAGAUAAUUAGGAGAUAAUGUCAGUGGCAGCUAAACUUGUCAGAGCAGAGUGGUCUCCUGCCGCUCCCCGAGUGCUGAGCGUGGAUGCAGGAAAUGCGGGGGGAGUGAAGUCCUUAGUGGAGAUAAAUGUGGAGGAAGAGCCAACUAUUUCGUUGCCACUGAGGAGAUGAUCAUCUUGCAGCAAUAUUCUGCCAGUGGCAUAUCCUACCAAAUGCCCAUCUCGGCCCCCCUUGAACUGCUUUACAUAGCUAUGAGCGGAGGGGGGCGUCGCUGAUUAUUACAACGCACAGCUAAGAUAAAGGAGCAGCUAAUUGAAUUUAAUUCACUGAGGAGGCAACCAAUUUUGUGCCGAAGCUUAACUUCUGGAUGGUAAAUAUUUUGCACUAGAUGCUCAUCGCCUGAAAACUGAAUGCCAACUGUUUUUGCAAGACAGACCGCGUUGUUGAAGGGCAGAACGCUGGGCAGUCAGGGAACAGCUGGCAGGGGACCCGAGGCCUGGGCUCUUGCCUGUGUUAGUGGGUUGGCCUGCUCACCGUGCUGCCAGGGCCUGCUGCAUGAGGGACACAUGCGUGACAGGGACCAGGGUUUGCCAGGCAGAUUUGUGAUGAGACUCUAGAUUCGAAUUUAGAUUUGCCGAAGUAAACAAAAAUGCAACCCUCGUUUUUCACUGUAUGUGACAGGCUAGUAGAGUGUUCUGGAAUGUGUUUGUGUGUGUGUGUUGGGGGGGGGGGCCCACGCGUUAUGCUUAUUUAUGGAAUCACUGUAUUCCUUCAGAUUUUAGGGAGUAUGCGAUACCACGUAUGUAAACUUUGUCGCCAGUGGUCAGCAGUUGGCAGUUGGCUGUGCCUUCAGUGUGUUUCUUGGGUGGGGAUUGUUUACUCCCUCUCCUCUUUUUUCUAUUUCUUCCCCACUUUCAUUUGUUCCAUUUCAGAGCUGACCAUAUAGCAUCCCAG
rnacentral:lncRNA from 1 species